rnacentral:rRNA from 1 species
UACAGAGGUCCCGAGCGUUGUUCGGAUUCACUGGGCGUAAAGGGUGCGUAGGUGGCUUUGCAAGUCUGAUGUGAGAUCUCCGGGCUUAACCCGGAAAUGGCAUUAGAAACUGUGAGGCUUGAGGCUUGGAGGGGGAACUGGAAUUCUCGGUGUAGCAGUGAAAUGCGUAGAGAUCUGGAGGAACACCGGUGGCGAAGGCGGCAUCCUGGACCAACACUGACGCUGAGGAGCGAAAGCCAGGGGAGCAAACGGG